UAAUAUUUUUAGGUUUUUAAUAUUUUUAUUAGGUUAGGUAGAGAUUAAAGUUAUAUUUUUCUUAAGACCAUAUAGCAAUUAAAACACCAUUUGUUAAAAAAAAAAGAUCUCUCAUUCUUCCAUUUAACUGCCCUGAUGCAGUCAUCCAAAAUCAAUUAAUGAUAUAUCACCCGAUUUAUUUCUGGACUCCCAAUUAUCUUUCAUUAUCUAUUUGGUCUUCUGUCAUAUCACACUCUCUUGAUUUAUGUAUUAUUUUUGUAACUUUGUAAGUCUUCCGAAUGUGUUCUUUUAAUUUUUUACAGGAUCAUUUUGGCUAUUUCAGAUCCUUUGCUUUUCCAGCAGGUUUAGCAAAAGCAAAUUUAGACUGAUUUUAUUCACAACAGCCUUCAAAAAAAAUUCCUUACGUUUGAUGUUCUAUCCUCACUCAGUUAGGACAGUCUUCAAAACAAGCCGGCUUCCUCUGGAUCACAAUGGACCGGGAGGUGAUCAGCCAGUCUAGGAUGCCUCAGCAGGACUCAACUCUGUUUUACUUGAUCUCUCACUGACCAGUAUGAAAGCCUGAGCAAGUUCUUAUAGUUGGACAGGCCUCAAAGACAGACAGCGGAAACAUUCAAAAUGUUUUGAGGAAUAAAUUUAGAAACGGUCCUUUGUUACCCCUGCUGCACUUGGCCAACCUAUUUCUUUGUUUUUAAGUGUGGAUUACUGCCCCGCAUACUCCGAUUUGCACCCUUCCAGACCAAACCGAACUGUUAUAUUUCAUGUAUUUUUUUUAGUAAAAAUGAGCUAAUUUGUUAUUUUUAUUUUUAUUAUUUUUCAUUAGCAUAAUAGUUUUUGAAUUUUUUUCAUAUGUUAUUGGGGUACAGGUGGUAUUUACAUGAGCAGGUUUUUAGUGGUGAUUUGUGAGAUCCUGGCACACUCAUCACCUGAGCAGUACGCACUGAAUUGUAUUUGUAAUUUUUCAUCCCUUGCUUCCUCCCACCCUUCCCCUGAAGCCUAAAGUCCACUGUAUCUUUCUUAAGCCUUUGCAUCCUCAUAGCUUAGCUCCUACAUAUCGUUGAGAACACACGAUGUUUGGUUUUCCAUUCCUGAGUUACUUUACUUAGAAUAACAGUCUUCAAUCUCAUCAGCCAAAGAACAUAUGAAAAAAUGCUCAACAUCACUAUUGGUCAGGGAAAUGCAAAUCAAAACGACCCAUUUCUCAGGAAAGAUGAAGACAGAUUCCUUUGCUUGAUGGGAAUAGGUGAAAUGUGGCAUGGAACAAAGGAUCUUUAGAGCAGUCAAACUAUUCUCUCUGCUACUAUAAUGAUGGAUACAUGUCACUAUACAUUUUCAAAAUCCAGAAAAAGUACAACAUUAAGAGUGAGACCUAUGUAAAUUACGAACUUUGGGUAAUAGUAUUGUGCCUUUCUUGGCUCAUUAAUUAUAACAAAUGUACCACUUUGACGUGGGAGGUUGACAUUGGGGGAGACUGUGUGUGUGUUGGGGGUAAUUAUGUGCAUUCAGCUCAAUAUUGCUGUGAACCUAAAAUUGCUCUGAAAAGUAAAGUCUAUGUUAAAAAGUGGAUGCUUUGAGGAAUCAGUGUUAUAAUAAACUUUUCA